rnacentral:rRNA from 1 species
GACGAACGCUGGCGGCGUGCUUAACACAUGCAAGUCGAACGAAGAGCGAUGGAAGCUUGCUUCUAUCAAUCUUAGUGGCGAACGGGUGAGUAACGCGUAAUCAACCUGCCCUUCAGAGGGGGACAACAGUUGGAAACGACUGCUAAUACCGCAUACGAUCUAAUCUCGGCAUCGAGGAUAGAUGAAAGGUGGCCUCUACAUGUAAGCUAUCACUGAAGGAGGGGAGUGCGUCUGAUUAGCUAGUUGGAGGGGUAACGGCCCACCAAGGCGAUGAUCAGUAGCCGGUCUGAGAGGAUGAACGGCCCCAGUGGGACUGAGACACGGCCCAGACUCCUACGGGAGGCAGCAGUGGGGAAUCUUCCGCAAUGGACGAAAGUCUGACGGAGCAACGCCGCGUGAGUGAUGACGGCCUUCGGGUUGUAAAGCUCUGUUAAUCGGGACGAAAGGCCUUCUUGCGAAUAGUGAGAAGGAUUGACGGUACCGGAAUAGAAAGCCACGGCUAACUACGUG